AAUUCUUUAGCCGCCCAAUUACAGAACCACACUAGCCCAUCGAGCUUUGCGCGGAACUUAUCCCUAUCUCCUUGAAAGAAGUCUAUGGUCUUCUUAAAGGAUUCAUAAUCUUCAAUCACAUACUCUCGUUCCUUCAACCAUAUGGAGUUGUCUCGGUGUAAUGACUCUAGCUGGUUCUUCCAAUAGCUGGCAGACUCUUUUGUGUCUCUUACUUCUC
rnacentral:lncRNA from 1 species